AGCGAACGCUGGCGGCAGGCCUAACACAUGCAAGUCGAACGAACUCUUCGGAGUUAGUGGCGGACGGGUGAGUAACACGUGGGAACGUGCCUUUUGGUUCGGAAUAACUCAGGGAAACUUGUGCUAAUACCGAAUGUGCCCUUCGGGGGAAAGAUUUAUCGCCAUUAGAUCGGCCCGCGUCUGAUUAGCUAGUUGGUGAGGUAAAAGCUCACCAAGGCGACGGUCAGUAGCUGGUCUGAGAGGAUGACCAGCCACACUGGGACUGAGACACGGCCCAGACUCCUACGGGAGGCAGCAGUGGGGAAUCUUGCGCAAUGGGCGAAAGCCUGACGCAGCCAUGCCGCGUGAAUGAUGAAGGUCUUAGGAUUGUAAAAUUCUUUCACCGGGGACGAUAAUGACGGUACCCGGAGAAGAAGCCCCGGCUAACUUCGUGCCAGCAGCCGCCGUAA
rnacentral:rRNA from 1 species